AUUGAACGCUGGCGGCAGGCUUAACACAUGCAAGUCGAGCGGAGCGAGGGUGCUUGCACCUUAGCUUAGCGGCGGACGGGUGAGUAAUGCUUAGGAAUCUGCCUAUUAGUGGGGGACAACAUUCCGAAAGGAAUGCUAAUACCGCAUACGCCCUACGGGGGAAAGCAGGGGAUCUUCGGACCUUGCGCUAAUAGAUGAGCCUAAGUCGGAUUAGCUAGUUGGUGGGGUAAAGGCCUACCAAGGCGACGAUCUGUAGCGGGUCUGAGAGGAUGAUCCGCCACACUGGGACUGAGACACGGCCCAGACUCCUACGGGAGGCAGCAGUGGGGAAUAUUGGACAAUGGGCGGAAGCCUGAUCCUGCCAUGCCGCGUGUGUGAAGAAGGCCUUUUGGUUGUAAAGCACUUUAAGCGAGGAGGAGGCUACUUAGAUUAAUACUCUGGGAUAGUGGACGUUACUCGCAGAAUAAGCACCGGCUAACUCUGUGCCAGCCGCCGCCGCAGUAA
rnacentral:rRNA from 1 species